rnacentral:sRNA from 1 species
UUCCCCGUUUGAGGUUUUUAUUAAACUGUCUAAAAAUGACUCGCCAAAGUCAUUGGUUAAUUUCUAAGUACAGACAUAAUUUACCAUAGAUUUUUUAAUUGAACCGAUAACGGGAAAUUCG